rnacentral:rRNA from 1 species
AAGAGCCCAGAACCUGAAUCAGUUUGUGCAUUAGUGGAAGCGUCUGGAAAGUCGCGCGAUACAGGGUGAUAGCCCCGUACACGAAGGUGCACAGCUGUGAGUUCGAUGAGUAGGGCGGGACACGUGUUAUCCUGUCUGAAUAUGGGGGGACCAUCCUCCAAGGCUAAAUACUCCUGACUGACCGAUAGUGAACCAGUACCGUGAGGGAAAGGCGAAAAGAACCCCGGCGAGGGGAGUGAAAUAGAACCUGAAACCGUGUACGUACAAGCAGUGGGAGCAUCCUUCGGGGUGUGACUGCGUACCUUUUGUAUAAUGGGUCAGCGACUUAUAUUUUGUAGCAAGGUUAACCGAAUAGGGGAGCCGUAGGGAAACCGAGUCUUAACUGGGCGUCUAGUUGCAAGGUAUAGACCCGAAACCCGGUGAUCUAGCCAUGGGCAGGUUGAAGGUUGGGUAACACUAACUGGAGGACCGAACCGACUAAUGUUGAAAAAUUAGCGGAUGACUUGUGGCUGGGGGUGAAAGGCCAAUCAAACCGGGAGAUAGCUGGUUCUCCCCGAAAGCUAUUUAGGUAGCGCCUCGUGAACUCAUCUUCGGGGGUAGAGCACUGUUUCGGCUAGGGGGUCAUCCCGACUUACCAACCCGAUGCAAACUACGAAUACCGAAGAAUGUUAUCACGGGAGACACACGGCGGGUGCUAACGUCCGUCGUGAAGAGGGAAACAACCCAGACCGCCAGCUAAGGUCCCAAAGUCAUGGUUAAGUGGGAAACGAUGUGGGAAGGCAUAGACAGCCAGGAUGUUGGCUUAGAAGCAGCCAUCAUUUAAAGAAAGCGUAAUAGCUCACUGGUCGAGUCGGCCUGCGCGGAAGAUGUAACGGGGCUAAACCAUGCACCGAAGCUGCGGCAGCGACGCUUAGGCGUUGUUGGGUAGGGGAGCGUUCUGUAAGCCUGCGAAGGUGGCCUGUGAGGGCUGCUGGAGGUAUCAGAAGUGCGAAUGCUGACAUAAGUAACGAUAAAGCGGGUGAAAAGCCCGCUCGCCGGAAGACCAAGGGUUCCUGUCCAACGUUAAUCGGGGCAGGGUAAGUCGACCCCUAAGGCGAGGCUGAAAAGCGUAGUCGAUGGGAAACAGGUUAAUAUUCCUGUACUUGGUGUUAUUGCGAAGGGGGGACGGAGAAGGCUAGACCGGCCGGGCGACGGUUGUCCCG